rnacentral:rRNA from 1 species
GAUGAACGCUGGCGGCGUGCCUAAUACAUGCAAGUCGAGCGAACAGACGAGGAGCUUGCUCCUCUGACGUUAGCGGCGGACGGGUGAGUAACACGUGGAUAACCUACCUAUAAGACUGGGAUAACUUCGGGAAACCGGAGCUAAUACCGGAUAAUAUAUUGAACCGCAUGGUUCAAUAGUGAAAGACGGUUUUGCUGUCACUUAUAGAUGGAUCCGCGCCGCAUUAGCUAGUUGGUAAGGUAACGGCUUACCAAGGCAACGAUGCGUAGCCGACCUGAGAGGGUGAUCGGCCACAUGGGAACUGAGACACGGGCCAGACUCCUACGGGAGGCAGCAGUAGGGAAUCUUCCGCAAUGGGCGAAAGCCUGACGGAGCAACGCCGCGUGAGUGAUGAAGGUCUUCGGAUCGUAAAACUCUGUUAUUGGGGAAGAACAAAUGUGUAAGUAACUAUGCACGUCUUGACGGUACCUAAUCAGAAAGCCACGGCUAACUACGUG